GAUCAGGAGACCUUCCCUUGCAUGCAUACGGAGUUUCUGCAAGAUAACUUCCAAUGAUUCGUACUGCAGCCAAAAGAUCAUUUCCUCGCUUUUGUCCAUGAUCCUUUGAAUCUUGUAGAAAAUCCAAGACUAAAUGAAUAGUCUCAUUUAGCCCCGCAACCACCUUCAUCAAAAUGCUUUCACUAAUAUGGUUACCUUCUGCAGAAUCUUUUGAUAUUAG
rnacentral:misc_RNA from 1 species